GUCGGCGUGCUGACGGUGACGCCCUCUCCGGUGACGCUCACGCAGGAUCUGCCGGGCCGCAUCUCCGCCUACCGCGUCGCGGAGGUGCGCGCGCGGGUCAAUGGCAUCGUGCUGCGCCGGCACUUUACGGAAGGCAGCGACGUCAAGGAAGGCCAGGUGCUCUACGACAUCGA
rnacentral:ncRNA from 1 species